rnacentral:rRNA from 1 species
UACGUAGGGCGCAAGCGUUGUCCGGAAUUAUUGGGCGUAAAGAGCUCGUAGGCGGUCUGUCGCGUCCGUUGUGAAAACUCGAGGCUCAACCUCGGCUUGCAGUGGAUACGGGCAGACUAGAGUGCGGUAGGGGAGACUGGAAUUCCUGGUGUAGCGGUGAAAUGCGCAGAUAUCAGGAGGAACACCGGUGGCGAAGGCGGGUCUCUGGGCCGUAACUGACGCUGAGGAGCGAAAGCAUGGGGAGCGAACAGG